rnacentral:tRNA from 1 species
GGGCCUAUAGCUCAGCUGGUUAGAGCGCACGCCUGAUAAGCGUGAGGUCGGUGGUUCGAGGCCACUUAGGCCCACCA